GGAGCAUUUGGUAAGGCCCCCGGUCUUACAAUGGUAAAUUCCAGCCCAGCCUGGGCUACACAGGGAGUUCAAGGCAAGACUGUACCACAGAGCAAGACUCUGUCUCAAAACAAACAGGCCAGGCAUAGUGGAACUAGCCUGUAAUAGCAGCAUUCAAGAGGCUGAUGCAGGAUUACCAUGAGUUCGAGGCCAAUCUGGGCUACUUAGUGAGUUCAAGGGCAGCCUGAACUACAUGGUGAGAACUUGGCUCAAAAAAACCAAACCAAAUUAAAAAUCAAAAAACAAACACAGAAAGAGUGAUGGGGUCUUGCUCUGUUGUCCAGGUUGGCCUCAAACUCCUGUGCUCAAGCGAUCCUCCUACCUCAGCCUUCUGAGCAGCUGGAACUACGGGUAUGUGUCACUCCACAAGCCACCAGCAACUCUGGGUCAGUUAUCAUCCAAGCCAAGUGGCACAUACAAUAGGUGCCUAAGGAUGGUUUGUGUUUUGUUUUGCAGUGCUAGGGAUUGACCCAGGUCCUGUGCUAGGCAAGUGCUCUACCUUCUGAGCUAUGUUUCCAGCCCACUAGUGAUGCUUCUGAACAAGAAAUCAAGGUCACCCCAGUGGCCAGGUGUGGCGAUGCACACCUGUAAUCCCAGCACUCAAGAGGCUGAGGUAGGUGGAUUGCCAGGAGUUUGAGGCCAGCCUGGGCUACAUAAUGAGUUCCAGGCCAGCCUAAACUGCGUAGUGAGACCCUGUCUCAAAAAAUUGAAAACUUUCAUUUUUAAACUAUUUCUUUCCUUUGAGAUAGGGUCCCACUGUGUAGUCAAGGCUGGUCUUGAACUCAGUAUGUAGCCCAGGCUGACCUCGAACUCACAGCAAUCCUCCUGCCUCAGCCUCCUGAGUGCUGGGAUUACAGACGUGUAACACCCCAGGCAGCAAAAAAAAAAAAAAAAAAGAAAAAUUUAAACCCAGAAAGCUAGGUGUGAAGACAGUCUGUCCCUCCACAGCCAUAUGUCCUUUAGCAGUGGACACAGCCUUCCAGAGGGUCAGUUUUUGUGAAGUAAACAGCACAAAGAUAUUUCCCUGGCUUUUUCUCUGGGUAAGGUAGGGAUAAAGUACAUGCAGAGUCCUGUCCCCUCUGAGUCCCUGAGAAAUGCCAGCACUUGCAUCAUGAUCUCCUUGCUCCAAAUGGUCACAACUAUUACAACCACCUCAACUAUUACAAUCCCAGCACUCCUGAGUGUGCAUCACCACACCUGCCCACUGGGUGACUGAUUUCUUGUUUAGAGAAACAAGUGGGCUGGGGACAUAGCUCAAAGGUAGAGCACUUGUCUAGCACUGACACAGGGUGGGGUUAUAUUCAUUACCUGUUUCCUUUUUGAGUCAGGGUCCUAGAAUGUAGUUUAGGGAGGUCUUGAACUCACUAUGUAGCCCAGGGCCUUGAACUCACAGUGAUCCUCCUCUUCUCCUCCCUCAGCUCCCAGAGGGCUGGGAUUGCAGGCGUGUGCCACCAUGCCCAGCCCACAUUUAUUAUUUUAUCCUAAAAAAAAAAAGUCUGAGAUAUUUAUUGCUAGGGAUGGAACCCAGGACUUCUCACAUGCUAGGCAAGUGCUCUACCACUGAGCCACAUCCCAGUCCUAAUUUUUACUCAUAGCUUCCACUGCAUGGGCUCUGUUUCCCAUGCUGUGUUUUCCACAUGUUACACAACAGUGGUGUUCAGUAAGUUGAGUGGCUUCUAAAGUGGGUAUGAGCCUGGAAUCUCAUUUUAUGAGACUGGAAACUGUGCCGAAAGCUAGAGUGGUCCUGAGUCUCCCUGUUACAUCCAGGGGCACCUAGGUUAGGCCCUGGGUCACUCAUGGACAGCCAGACAAGGGGGCUUCGGGCAUCUUCACGCUCCGCUGCUGCAAAACUAGACGUAAAAAGAGAGAGUUGGUGCCCCCUAGUGGGCACAAGAGGACAUCGCAGGGAAGGACAGG
ensembl:lncRNA